CUCAUACUCGCUCCGUCUAACAAUGGAUGUUUCAAGUUUUUUAAAAUUUAAAUAUAUCUAGAUUUGAAUUAGUGUAUAAAUACAUUCAAAUUUAGUUAAGUUGAGACAUCUUUUGUUGGACGGAGGAAGUAUAAU
rnacentral:pre_miRNA from 1 species